UCCAGGCUCCAGUUUGAAUGAACUUCGCCUCCCAAGAUCCUAAUUCCUUCUUCUUAUCUCAACUCGAGAAAGUGAAGAGGCAUCAGUUGCGGAGAGACGUUCCGAUUAGACGGUUUGAGGCAUCUCCCUUUUGUCGUAAGUUUCGCCUCUGCUUGAGAAUACGAAGAAUUUAGGUAAUAAGAGUCACCUGAAUAUGCAGUCUUUCAUCCAGUCAAAUAAGAUUCUCUCAAGAGUGAUGGAGCACAUACGGGUAUCCUGCUCAAGUGACCAGGGGCCGCCCGAGCCAGAUUCUCCAACUCCAAGCGGUUCAGACCAGCAACCGAGAGCCGGGGGAGAUCGAGGCCGCUACUUUAAUGAAAGAUGAAACUGCUGUGAUAGUGGCUUCCAUGAGAGGCGGGCAUCAUUGCUUAGCCGCUGACAGAAGCGAGUGCGCAUUCGUCAAGUUUUUCCUUGUUUCUGUUGUUAAAGUAUUUAAAUGUCAUUCGUCAGGGAUCUCAAAGAACAACGUGUUCUGUUUUUUAUAUCUUCCACAUUAUUUCCUGGUGAUAGUUAAGCAAUGGAUUCUACAAGAUCACUUUUAAUACUUACGGGCAAGGUGCUGGCAAAAUAUGCCAUUAUUCACUUACAUUAUUGCUUUUGUAUACCGUUAUCUUACAUUAUUUAUAUUAUUGUUACUGCUAUUAUUUGACCACAACUCUCGGUAAAAUGUGUGCUUUUAAAUAUUAAACAUAAAUAAUUAAACAUUCAAAUGUAAAUCCAAUGUUUUUAUGUUCAGCAAUGUUAUUAUAUACUAAGUUAUAGUUGUUAACGUUGUGGCAUAUCAUAGAAAAAUGAGACAAUAAUCUCAGAUGUCUUAUUUAAAAAAUGGUUUCUAAAUGAAAAGUUAUUUUUAUAUUAAA